rnacentral:rRNA from 1 species
AUUGAACGCUGGCGGCAUGCUUUACACAUGCAAGUCGGACGAGUGGCGAACGGGUGAGUAACGCAUCGGAACGUACCGAGUAAUGGGGGAUAACUGUCCGAAAGGACAGCUAAUACCGCAUAUUAUUCGAGCGGCCGAUGUCUGAUUAGCUGGUUGGCGGGGUAAAGGCCCACCAAGGCGACGAUCUCUAGCUGGUCUGAGAGGAUGACCAGCCACACCGGGACUGAGACACGGCCCGGACUCCUACGGGAGGCAGCAGUGGGGAAUAUUGCGCAAUGGGGGCAACCCUGACGCAGCCAUGCCGCGUGAAUGAAGAAGGCCUUCGGGUUGUAAAGUUCUUUCGGUGACGAGGCGUUAAUCACAGAAGAAGCACCGGCUAACUCCGUGCCAGCAGCCGCGGUAAUAC